rnacentral:tRNA from 1 species
GGAGGUGGUUCAGUGGUAGAAGAAUGUUUGCCUAGCAUGCUCGAGGUCUUGGGUUCAAUCCCUAGCACCA